rnacentral:rRNA from 1 species
GAUGAACGCUAGCGGCAGGCUUAAUACAUGCAAGUCGAGGGGCAGCAUGAUUGUAGCAAUACAAUUGAUGGCGACCGGCAAACGGGUGCGGAACACGUACACAACCUCCCAAUAAGUGGGGAAUAGCCCAGAGAAAUUUGGAUUAAUACCCCGUAACAUAACGAUGUGGCAUCACAUUGUUAUUAUAGUUUUUUCGCUUAUUGAUGGGUGUGCGGCUGAUUAGAUAGUUGGCGGGGUAACGGCCCACCAAGUCUACGAUCAGUAGCUGAUGUGAGAGCAUGAGCGGCCACACGGGCACUGAGACACGGGCCCGACUCCGACGGGAGACAGUAGUAAGGAAAAUUGGACAAUGGACGCAAGUCUGAUCCAGCCAUGCCGCGUGAAGGAGUAAGGUCCUCUGGAUUGUAAACUUCUUUUAUAAGGAACGAAAGAAGGCUUUUCUAAGUCGUCUGACGGUACCUUAUGAAUAAGCACCGGCUAACUCCGUGCCAGCAGCCGCGGUAAGAC